CAUGUAGGCGGGCUUUUAAGUCCGACGUGAAAAUGCGGGGCUUAACCCCGUAUGGCGUUGGAUACUGGGAGUCUUGAGUGCAGGAGAGGAAAGGGGAAUUCCCAGUGUAGCGGUGAAAUGCGUAGAUAUUGGGAGGAACACCAGUGGCGAAGGCGCCUUUCUGGACUGUGUCUGACGCUGAGAUGCGAAAGCCAGGGUAAGGCAAACG
rnacentral:rRNA from 1 species